GUUUUGUGAGGUGGAAGAGGUUUUGUGAGGCGGAAGAGGUUUUGUGAGGCGGAAGAGGUUUUGUGAGGCGGAAGAGGUUUUGUGAGGCGGAAGAGGUUUUGUGAGGCGGAAGAGGUUUUGUGAGGCGGAAGAGGUUUUGUGAGGCGGAAGAGGUUUUGUGAGGCGGAAGAGGUUUUGUGAGGCGGAAGAGGUUUUGUGAGGCGGAAGAGGUUUUGUGAGGUGGAAGAGGUUUUGUGAGGUG